CGCAUUUUGAUGUCUGUUUCCUAAGCUGAGAUACUUAUGGUGCACAUCCACAAAUUUAAGUUGCAAUAUUUAUAUACAUCCAAGUUGACUUUGGGUCAAAAGAAAUACAAUUGCCACCGAAAAAACUUGAGGAAUGCAUUACUCACUCUCCUUGAAGUUUGGAAACCAAGCGAUGGGCCGGCUUACAUAAGCGAGCUUUCGAGAAUUUAAAAAAUACCAUUUUCGGCUUUACUAUUGCUCGUCUAAAACUGAACCACAUAUUAAAAAAAACUACAGACUGAAAGCUUUUGAUGCGAGCGUCUCAAAUGAACCAGCCCGCCUUGCCACAUACAUCGGCGGUGUGGUUGAACAUAAACGCGCCACAUCUCCUCUUUGUCUUUCUCAUUUGAUAGGUUAGUUGCGUUUGUCGUAGAGCGAUCGGUCGCUUUAGCGAAAAGUUGCGCAAUUAAAGAGUUAUUA